GGGUUUACCAAACAUGGUCGGCAGUUCAUAAGUGCACCCUACUUUCCCCAUUGUGAAAUAGGGCAGGUCCUUUGAUUGCCUGGCUCAGGCUAGAGUACCAUUGCAAUAGAGGCCUCAGAACGAGUGUUUUCUUUAGAGCCUGCCCUGAGGGUGAGGAAGGCCGGCCUAUUCAGCAUGUGGGUUUUCUGAGAGGAGAGCUGGUCUGAGCAGUUACUGUGAACCCUGAGCCAGGUUUCCCAGAGUUGUCCUCUCCUCCUGUGAGGCAGCAGCUGAGUGUCUCACGUCUCCAAUCUUGUUCACCUCGAGCCAUCUACAUUCUCUCUUUCUCCCAUACUGUCAUUGCUGCUAAUGUUCAGAGUCAAGCAUGUGGCAUUACGGAAUGAGCAGGUCUUCUUGGGCUGCUAUCUGAAUGUCCCUUUUUAAAUGUGGAAACGUGCAGAUGCUUUCUCCGAGAUGCUUAGACUGAUGUGUCAGCCAGAAGAAGCUUAGACUCCAAAGGAUCGAUGCUGACAUCUGUGCAACAGCUGGGAAGUGUACAAGUGAAGCCGAACUGUGCUAUCCACCAUUGGAAAGAAACGUUCUCACCUUGGGCUGACUGUGAUGUACAGUGUGUUAUGGGAAUUGUUGGGCUGAAGCUUUCGUCAAAUCUGAGUCCCUUGCUUUGAUCCCGUGUAUGUUAUGACCCCUCUGUCAGUGACUUUCCCCUGAGUGUGAAUUAUAGCAUGAUUGUAUAAACCUCUAUGUAGAAAAUGGAGAUUUCAUGUUCUACAAAUGUUAAGCUCUAACUGACCCACUUCUGUGCGCAUGUGUAUGACCUGACUUUCUUAUAUAUUUAAACUUUCCUUCUGUUCUAAAGCUUUUGUGGCAUUCCUUGUUCAGGUGGAGAGGAAGCUGUCCCUUUGCAGACCUGUACUGUAACCAUUUCUCCUUUAUAAAUAUUAUUUUCACAGGGCUGAUUGUAUACAGGGCUUAUAAUAAAAAUUUAACACUGUGUUGUCAACGAGCUGCGGUUUCUCCACUGGAGGUGACUUCAAAAGCACCUGAGGGUGGAGUGUCCCUUCUGUGACCUUACUUCCUAGUACGUGAAGUCUAAUCUCAGUUUUGUCCUGUUUCAGCCUCCUGUAUAAGAAGUAUCAUAUUUUCUGCCCAUCAUACUUUGUAAUAAAACUUGAACAUGUAUAGAUU
rnacentral:lncRNA from 1 species